CAUCCCUGCUCCUGUGGGACCAGAGCGGAUUUUGGUUUUCCCUUGUGUUGCUCCUCCCCUGCUCCUCUGUAGCUGCCACCGGGUCUCUUCUUGUGCUGAAGAGAGAAAAGAGAAGGAACAGAGGGUGAAGGAAGCAGUGUGGGCUCAGGGGAGGAAGCUUGGAACAGCCUGGAUCACACCUUUGGAAAUGUCCUGGGUGAGGGAAAUUUAAGGAUUUGAAGAGAAGAGACAGAGUGACUCUCCAGGUGUUUAAGGAGAAUCCCUCUGGUUUGGCUCAGAGAGAAGCCAGAGGAUGGAACAUGAAACGGGAGGGUGAUGGGAGCUGGGGGUGGGAACUGGCAGCUCAGGAGCAAAUGAGACAUGACAGAAAGGGGGGAGAUAAUUUAACAGGCUUGGCCUGAUAUUGUCCUUCAUAGUCAUGUCUUGAUUUUCUCCUGCUUUAGCUUUGUCAGAUCUGAUUUUGCACAGAGGACGCAGGGGGGACUGCUGUGCCCCACGUGUGCUGCACAGAGGAGCCUGCACAGCCGCCUGUUGCUCCUCCAAGCCACAAGCAUGCAAGAAACAUUUGCUUUUAAAUGCCUGGAAGUAUUUUCACGUUGUUAAAGUGACCUCUUCUUCA